GAGCACCUGACUUUGCCUAUUCACAAAAACUUGAUUCUAUGUCCAAAAUCACAUGCUAGGUCACCAUUAUAGGUACUUAAGGUACUGUGUCUGGAAAGAUUGAUAGAUAGAACUACUAGUUGCUUGAUUAGGAUGUCAUGGUUGGACCUAUUAAUUCAAAUACUAGUAAACCAAUAAUUAGUUAAGAAGCGGACAAAAGCAAUGAUUGAGAUUAGAAGUGGUUAAAUAAUAAGUGAUGAUAGGAACUGCACUAUGCCAGCACUAUCCAUAUCAACUCAAUUCAUGUUUUAAAGAAACUACCAAGAGAGAGAAUGGAUUAUAGAUCAAAUUGGUUGGGGCUCCAUCCAUGGCUAUUCACAAUUUCAAUUUAUUUUUUCUUUCAUUACCGAUCCGAGUAUUAGUUGUUGUCGUUGACGUUGUGAUCAUGCUGACUUGAGUUUGGGUAUAAGAUGAGCUCUCGGAGUUAGAGUUGCCCUUUUCUCCUUCUUCUAUUUAUGUUUAAUCUUUCCUAUUUGAAAACUGAUGUAUAUUUGACUUGAUUGUACUUGUAUUCUUUUGGAUUUGAGGCUUUGUACCUAUAUUACUAGGUCAUGAGAUUGUUAUUUCUCUAAUUUUAUCUUCCGCUUUUCUAUUAUUAUUAUUGGUUUAUUA